ensembl:misc_RNA Metazoa_SRP Metazoan signal recognition particle RNA
GCUGGGUGUGGUGGUGUGCACCUGUAGUCCCAGCUACUCAGGAGGCAGAGGCAGGAGAAUUGCUUGAACCCAGGAAGCAGAGGUUGUAGUGAGCUGAGAUCGUGCCAUUGCACUCUAGCCUGGGUGACAGAGUGAGAUUCUGUCUCAA